rnacentral:rRNA from 1 species
AUUGAACGCUGGCGGCAGGCUUAACACAUGCAAGUCGAGCGGGGGAGGUUGCUUCGGUAACUGACCUAGCGGCGGACGGGUGAGUAAUGCUUAGGAAUCUGCCUAUUAGUGGGGGACAACAUUCCGAAAGGAAUGCUAAUACCGCAUACGCCCUACGGGGGAAAGCAGGGGAUCUUCGGACCUUGCGCUAAUAGAUGAGCCUAAGUCGGAUUAGCUAGUUGGUGGGGUAAAGGCCUACCAAGGCGGCGAUCUGUAGCGGGUCUGAGAGGAUGAGCCGCCACACUGGGACUGAGACACGGCCCAGACUCCUACGGGAGGCAGCAGUGGGGAAUAUUGGACAAUGGGCGGAAGCCUGAUCCAGCCAUGCCGCGUGUGUGAAGAAGGCCUUUUGGUUGUAAAGCACUUUAAGCGAGGAGGAGGCUCUUAAGGUUAAUACCCUUGAUGAGUGGACGUUACUCGCAGAAUAAGCACCGGCUAACUCUGUGCCAGCCGCCGCCGUAACAC